rnacentral:rRNA from 1 species
ACAAGCGGUGGAGCAUGUGGUUUAAUUCGAUGAUACGCGAGGAACCUUACCUGGGCUCGAACGUAAGAUGACUGUAGGUGAAAGCUUACAUCUCUUCGGAGCAUUUUACGAGGUGCUGCAUGGUUGUCGUCAGCUCGUGCCGUGAGGUGUCGGGUUAAGUCCCAUAACGAGCGCAACCCUUGCCUUUAGUUGCCAGCAGUUCGGCUGGGCACUCUAAAGGGACUGCCGGUGUUAAACCGGAGGAAGGUGGGGAUGACGUCAAGUCCUCAUGGCCUUUAUGACCAGGGCUACACACGUACUACAAUGGUCGGUACAAAGGGUUGCCAAGCCGCGAGGUGGAGCUAAUCCCAUAAAACCGAUCGUAGUCCGGAUCGCAGUCUGCAACUCGACUGCGUGAAGUCGGAAUCGCUAGUAAUCGUGAAUCAGAAUGUCACGGUGAAUACGUUCCCGGGCCUU